rnacentral:rRNA from 1 species
GUCUCAGUUCGGAUUGUAGUCUGCAACUCGACUACAUGAAGCUGGAAUCGCUAGUAAUCGCGGAUCAGAAUGCCGCGGUGAAUACGUUCCCGGGUCUUGUACACACCGCCCGUCACACCAUGGGAGUCGGGAAUGCCCGAAGCCAGUGACCCAAGCGAGAGCAGGGAGCUGUCGAAGGCAGGCCGGAUAACUGGGGUGAAGUCGUAACAAGGUAAC